rnacentral:rRNA from 1 species
GAUGAACGCUGGCGGCGUGCCUAAUACAUGCAAGUCGAGCGAACAGACGAGGAGCUUGCUCCUCUGACGUUAGCGGCGGACGGGUGAGUAACACGUGGAUAACCUACCUAUAAGACUGGGAUAACUUCGGGAAACCGGAGCUAAUACCGGAUAAUAUAUUGAACCGCAUGGUUCAAUAGUGAAAGACGGUUUUCCUGUCACUUAUAGAUGGAUCCGCGCCGCAUAAGCUAGUUGGUAAGGUAACGGCUUACCAAGGCGACGAUGCGUAGCCGACCUGAGAGGGUGAUCGGCCACACUGGAACUGAGACACGGUCCAGACUCCUACGGGAGGCAGCAGUAGGGAAUCUUCCGCAAUGGGCGAAAGCCUGACGGAGCAACGCCGCGUGAGUGAUGAAGGUCUUCGGAUCGUAAAACUCUGUUAUUAGGGAAGAACAAAUGUGUAAGUAACUAUGCACGUCUUGACGGUACCUAAUCAGAAAGCCACGGCUAACUACGUG